GAUGAACGCUGGCGGCGUGCCUAAUACAUGCAAGUCGAGCGAACAGAUGAGGAGCUUGCUCCUCUGACGUUAGCGGCGGACGGGUGAGUAACACGUGGAUAACCUACCUAUAAGACUGGGAUAACUUCGGGAAACCGGAGCUAAUACCGGAUAAUAUAUUGAACCGCAUGGUUCAAUAGUGAAAGACGGUUUUGCUUUCACUUAUAGAUGGAUCCGCGCCGCAUUAGCUAGUUGGUAAGGUAACGGCUUACCAAGGCAACGAUUCGUAGCCGACCUGAGAGGGUGAUCGGCCACACUGGAACUGAGACACGGUCCAGACUCCUACGGGAGGCAGCAGUAGGGAAUCUUCCGCUAUGGGCGAAAGCCUGACGGAGCAACGCCGCGUGAGUGAUGAAGGUCUUCGGAUCGUAAAACUCUGUUAUUAGGGAAGAACAAAUGUGUAAGUAACUAUGCACGUCUUGACGGUACCUAAUCAGAAAGCCACGGCUAACUACGUG
rnacentral:rRNA from 1 species